rnacentral:tRNA from 1 species
GAAGAGAUCGUCUAGAGGUCAGGACGCUGGUUUGUGAAGCCGGAGGCGCGAGUUCAAUUCUCGUUCUCUUCCCCA